rnacentral:misc_RNA from 1 species
UACGGAGGGUGCAAGCGUUAAUCGGAAUUACUGGGCGUACAGCGCGCGUGGGUGGCUUGAUAAGCCGGUUGGGAAAGCGCCGGGCUCAACCUGGGGACGGCAUCCGGAACUGUCAGGCUAGAGUGCAGGAGAGGAAGGUAGAAUUCCCGGUGUAGCGGUGAAAUGCGUAGAGAUCGGGAGGAAUACCAGUGGCGAAGGCGGCCUUCUGGACUGACACUGACACUGAGGUGCGAAAGCGUGGGUAGCAAACAGG